rnacentral:rRNA from 1 species
AUUGAACGCUGGCGGCAGGCCUAACACAUGCAAGUCGAGCGGAUGAGAAGAGCUUGCUCUUCGAUUCAGCGGCGGACGGGUGAGUAAUGCCUAGGAAUCUGCCUGGUAGUGGGGGACAACGUUUCGAGAGGAACGCUAAUACCGCAUACGUCCUACGGGAGAAAGCAGGGGACCUUCGGGCCUUGCGCUAUCAGAUGAGCCUAGGUCGGAUUAGCUAGUUGGUGAGGUAAUGGCUCACCAAGGCGACGAUCCGUAACUGGUCUGAGGGGAUGAUCAGUCACACUGGAACUGAGACACGGUCCAGACUCCUACGGGAGGCAGCAGUGGGGAAUAUUGGACAAUGGGCGAAAGCCUGAUCCAGCCAUGCCGCGUGUGUGAAGAAGGUCUUCGGAUUGUAAAGCACUUUAAGUUGGGAGGAAGGGCAGUAAGUUAAUACCUUGCUGUUUUGACGUUACCGACAGAAUAAGCACCGGCUAACUCUGUGCCAGCCGCCGCAGUAAGAC